UACGGAGGGUGCGAGCGUUGUCCGGAAUCACUGGGCGUAAAGGGCGCGUAGGCGGCGCGGGAAGGCGGCGGUGAAAGUCCGGGGCUCAACCCCGGAUCGGCCGUGGCGACUCCCGCGCUGGAGCACAGUAGAGGCGGGUGGAAUUCCGGGUGUAGCGGUGGAAUGCGUAGAGAUCCGGAAGAACACCGGUGGCGAAGGCGGCCCGCUGGGCUGUGGCUGACGCUGAGGCGCGACAGCGUGGGGAGCAAACAGG
rnacentral:rRNA from 2 species